rnacentral:rRNA from 1 species
AUUGAACGCUGGCGGCAGGCCUAACACAUGCAAGUCGAACGAGUGGCGGACGGGUGAGUAAUGUCUGGGAAACUGCCUGUUGGAGGGGGAUAACUACUGGAAACGGUAGCUAAUACCGCAUACCAUCGGAUUUGGCCAGAUGGGAUUAGCUAGUAGGUGGGGUAAAGGCUCACCUAGGCGACGAUCCCUAGCUGGUCUGAGCGGAUGACCGGCCAAACGGGAACUGAGACACGGCCCAGACCCUUACGGGAGGAGGCAGUGGGGAAUAUUGCACAAUGGGGGCAAGCCGGAUGAAGCCAGGCCGCGUGUAGGAAGAAGGCCUUCGGGUUGUAAAGUACUUUCAGCGGGGAGGCGUUACCCGCAGAAGAAGCACCGGCUAACUCCGUGCCAGCAGCCGCGGUAAUUC